rnacentral:rRNA from 1 species
AUUGAACGCUGGCGGCAGGCCUAACACAUGCAAGUCGAACGAGUGGCGGACGGGUGAGUAAUGUCUGGGAAACUGCCUGAUGGAGGGGGAUAACUACUGGAAACGGUAGCUAAUACCGCAUACCAUCGGAUGUUCCCAGAUGGGAUUAGCUAGUAGGUGGGGUAAAGGCUCACCUAGGCGACGAUCCCUAGCUGGUCUGAGAGGAUGACCAGGCACACUGGAACUGAGACACGGUCCAGACUCAACCGGAAGGCAGCAGUGGGGAAUAUUGCAAAAUGGGCGAAAGCCUGAUACAGCCAUGCCGAGUGUAUGAAGAAGGCCGUCGGGUUGUAAAGUACUUUCAGCGGGGAGGCGUUACCCGCAGAAGAAGCAACGGCUAACUCCGUGCCAGCAGCCGCGGUAAUAC